GGGGCCGUAGUCAAGCCAGGGAUGACGACGGGCUCCAGCUUCAGGAGCGGGGAGGAAACCCGUAGACAUAGGAUUGGCGGAAGUCGAGGGUUCAAAUCCCUUCGGCCCCACCA
rnacentral:tRNA from 1 species